rnacentral:rRNA from 1 species
CAGUGCCGCGGGAAUACGUAGGGUGCGAGCGUUAAUCGGAAUUACUGGGCGUAAAGCGUGCGCAGGCGGUUUUGUAAGACAGGCGUGAAAUCCCCGGGCUCAACCUGGGAAUGGCGCUUGUGACUGCAAAGCUAGAGUGCGGCAGAGGGGGAUGGAAUUCCGCGUGUAGCAGUGAAAUGCGUAGAUAUGCGGAGGAACACCGAUGGCGAAGGCAAUCCCCUGGGCCUGCACUGACGCUCAUGCACGAAAGCGUGGGGAGCGAACAGGAUUAGAUACCCGGGUAGUCCCUGUCUCUUAUACC